rnacentral:rRNA from 1 species
AGAUGGCGACCGGCGCACGGGUGAGUAACACGUAUCCAACCUGCCGAUAACUCGGGGAUAGCCUUUCGAAAGAAAGAUUAAUACCCGAUGGUAUAAUCAGACCGCAUAGUUUGAUUAUUAAAGAAUUUCGGUUAUCGAUGGGGAUGCGUUCCAUUAGGCAGUUGGUGAGGUAACGGCUCACCAAACCUUCGAUGGAUAGGGGUUCUGAGAGGAAGGUCCCCCACAUUGGAACUGAGACACGGCCAA